rnacentral:rRNA from 1 species
UAAGCAUAUAAGUAAGCGGAGGACAAGAAACUAAAUAGGAUUCCCCCCAGUAAUGGCGAAUGAACAGGGAAGAGCUCAGCAUGGAAAUCGGGGCCUCCCGGCCUUGAAUUGUAGUCUUGAGAUGUACUGCCAACGGAGGCGCAGAUGUAAGCCUCUUGGAAAAGAGCAUCAACGAGGGUGAGAGUCCCGUUUGUCAUCUGCAGUCCCCCGUGUACGGUGUACAUUCUAAGAGUCACGUUCCUCGGGAUUGGAGCGCAAAGUGGGUGGUAAAUUUCAUCUAAAGCUAAAUAUUGGUUCGAGACCGAUAGCAAACAAGUACCAUGAGGGAAAGGUGAAAAGGACUUUGAAAAGAGAGUUAAAAGUGCCUGAAAUUGCUGAAAGGGAAGCGAAUGGAACCAGUGUUCUUGAUGAGAUUGUCGCGUACUCUGGUGAUUGCUGGGUGCUCCACCGCAAGGGGGGCAUUUGGUUUUGAGCUAGAUGUGCGUGGUGUUUCUUGUCUUGUGUGUCACCGUCGGUGCAUGAGCGAGUAAACCUCCAGGGAGAUGGUAGCUUGGCUAUGGUUGAGCGAAUGUCUCUGGCAGUACUCAUUUGUGUAUCGAUCCCUGCGUGUCUGGUUGCAGUGUUUGAGUCGUCUGGAAGCUCCUGAAAGGCUUGUCCUCGACGGACUUUCUGGGCACCUUGAGCAUCUCCCUGACACAAAGACGAUGACUAAAUGGUUCUAUUCGACCCGUCUUGA